UGGGGAAUCUUGCACAAUGGGGGCAACCCUGAUGCAGCGACGCCGCGUGAGCGAUGAAGCCCUUCGGGGUGUAAAGCUCUUUCGGCAGGGAAGAUUAUGACGGUACCUGCAGAAGCAGCUGCGGCUAACUACGUGCCAGCAGCCGCGGUAAUACGUAGGCAGCAAGCGUUGUUCGGAGUUACUGGGCGUAAAGGGUGUGUAGGCGGUCCCCUAAGUUUGGUGUGAAAUCUCCCGGCUCAACUGGGAGGGUGCGCCGAAAACUGGGGGGCUAGAGUACUGGAUGGGAGAGUGGAAUUCCUGGUGUAGCGGUGAAAUGCGUAGAUAUCAGGAGGAACACCUGUGGUGUAGACGGCUCUCUGGACAGUAACUGACGCUGAGACACGAAAGCGUGGGUAGCAAACAG
rnacentral:rRNA from 1 species